GCGAGGGUAGCCAAGCGGUCAACGGCGGCGGACUCAAGAUCCGCUCUCGUAGGAGUUCGUGGGUUCGAUCCCCUCCCCUCGCA
rfam:Natrinema versiforme JCM 10478 contig_53, whole genome shotgun sequence.